AGCCCCGUGGUGGAGACCACAUCGGAUUGCAAAUCCAGAAGACGCAGGCCUGCUACCUGCCGGGGCUU
rnacentral:tRNA from 1 species